UCUCAAAGAUUAAGCCAUGCAUGUCUCAGUGCAAGCCGCAUUAAGGUGAAACCGCGAAUGGCUCAUUAAAUCAGUUAUGGUUCCUUGGACCUAACAGUUACUUGGAUAACUGUGGUAAUUCUAGAGCUAAUACAUGCAUUUCAGUCCCGACCAGAAAUGGAAGGGACGCUUUUAUUAGAUCAAAACCAAUCGGCCGGUUCGCCCGGCCGUCUGAUUUUGGUGACUCUGGAUAACUUUGGGCUGAUCGCACGGUCUCAGCACCGGCGACAUACCCUUCAAAUGUCUGCCUUAUCAACUGACGAUGGUAGGCUCUGCGCCUACCAUGGUUAUAACGGGUGACGGGGAAUCAGGGUUCGAUUCCGGAGAGGGAGCCUGAGAAACGGCUACCACAUCCAAGGAAGGCAGCAGGCGCGCAAAUUACCCACUCCCGGCACGGGGAGGUA
rnacentral:rRNA from 1 species